AUGCAGGAACUGCAACAACGACAUGUGAGCGAUUACGUAGUCUGCCCGAUGUGCGGACAUGGAGAUGAAAGUCUCUUUCACUGCUUGUUAACAUGUGAUCACGCCAAGUUAUUUUGGGUGGAAGCAGAAACAAUAUUUGGUAUAAAGAAGCCUCAUCUCCAUCCAAACACUUGGGCCACUGAUUUUCUUGAUGCUAGUUUGGUGCCAAAGAGGGAUGCAACUAUUGGCAUUACGGUGAUGUGGGCUAUUUGGAGCAAUCGGAACAGGUUCACUCACCCUGAAGAAAAAUACCAACCGAAGCGGUCUAUGGAGAUUAUUUCAGAAAUUGUGGGGACGUUGGAGCGUCCCACUACGUCACAUAGACCUGUUGUCAAUGGACAGCAGCGAUGGGAGGCGCCGAUGGUUGGGGUUGUCAAGAUGAAUGUAGAUGGCGCAGUUGACACGGCUAGUGCAAAAGGCGGCACCGGCGUAGUUUUCCGAAACAUCGACGGUGGGCUACUAGUGUCGCGGUGCACUAGCUACCAAGGGGUGGUUGAUCCCAUAACGUUGGAAAUAUUGGCUUGCAGAGAUGCUAUCUUGCUUGCCAGGGAGAAGAACUAUCAGCAUUUGAUAGUGGAGACAUAUUGCCUCAAUGUUGUUCAGCUAUGGAAAGGUAGACUGAAAGGCAAAUCGAAGGGGUUCUGUAUCUUCCAAGAGUUGCAGGAGGAGCUGCCAUUUUUUUCAAGGAUUUCAGCUUUGUUACGCUAG
rnacentral:rRNA from 1 species